UACGUAGGGGGCAAGCGUUGUCCGGAUUUAUUGGGCGUAAAGAGCGUGUAGGCGGCUUGACAAGUCUGCUGUGAAAACUCGAGGCUCAACCUCGAGAUGUCGGCGGAAACUGUCUGGCUAGAGUCCGGAAGAGGAGAGUGGAAUUCCUGGUGUAGCGGUGAAAUUCGUAGAUAUCAAGAGGAACACCGGUGGCGAAGGCGGCGACCUGGACCGACACUGACGCUAAUACACGAAAGCGUGGGGAGCAAACAGG
rnacentral:rRNA from 1 species